rnacentral:rRNA from 1 species
AUUGAACGCUGGCGGCAGGCCUAACACAUGCAAGUCGAGCGGAUGAAGGGAGCUUGCUCCUGGAUUCAGCGGCGGACGGGUGAGUAAUGCCUAGGAAUCUGCCUGGUAGUGGGGGAUAACAUCCGGAAACGGGCGCUAAUACCGCAUACGUCCUGAGGGAGAAAGUGGGGGAUCUUCGGACCUCACGCUAUCAGAUGAGCCUAGGUCGGAUUAGCUAGUUGGUGGGGUAAAGGCCUACCAAGGCGACGAUCCGUAACUGGUCUGAGAGGAUGAUCAGUCACACUGGAACUGAGACACGGUCCAGACUCCUACGGGAGGCAGCAGUGGGGAAUAUUGGACAAUGGGCGAAAGCCUGAUCCAGCCAUGCCGCGUGUGUGAAGAAGGUCUUCGGAUUGUAAAGCACUUUAAGUUGGGAGGAAGGGCAGUAAGUUAAUACCUUGCUGUCUUGACGUUACCAACAGAAUAAGCACCGGCUAACUUCGUG